rfam:Oryza meridionalis cultivar OR44 (W2112) chromosome 1, whole genome shotgun sequence.
AAUAAGUGUAGCUUUACACUGUUCAUGUCCAAUGUUUGACCGUUCAUCUUAUUUGAAAAGUUUUUAUGAUUAGUAUUUUUAUUGCAAUUAUAUGAUAAAAUAUGAAUAAUACUUUAUGUGUAAAUGUUUUUUUAUUUUUUCAUAUUUUUUGAAAUAAGACGGACAGUCAAACCUGGACACGGAUACUCACGGCUGCACUUAUU